GGAGAGGUGGCUGAGUGGUCUAAGGCGGCCGGCUUGAACCCGGCAGGCGCUUCCGUCAGAUGCCUGACAUUACGAGCGUCCGAGGGUUCGACUCCCUCCCUCUCCGCCA
rnacentral:tRNA from 1 species